GGAAAUUAGCUCAGUUGGUAAAAAACUUGCCUUGAAAGCAUGAGGAGCUGAGUUCAAGCUCCAGAAUUUCCA
rnacentral:tRNA from 1 species